AUACAGAGGGUGCGAGCGUUAAUCGGAAUUACUGGGCGUAAAGCGCGCGUAGGCGGCUACUUAAGUCAGAUGUGAAAUCCCCGGGCUCAACCUGGGAACUGCAUCUGAUACUGGGUAGCUAGAGUUUAGGAGAGGGAAGUAGAAUUUCAGGUGUAGCGGUGAAAUGCAUAGAGAUCUGAAGGAAUACCAGUGGCGAAGGCGGCUUCCUGGCCUAAAACUGACGCUGAGGUGCGAAAGCGUGGGUAGCAAACAGGAUUAGAUACCCUAGUAGUCC
rnacentral:rRNA from 1 species